rnacentral:rRNA from 1 species
AUUGAACGCUGGCGGCAGGCCUAACACAUGCAAGUCGAGCGGAUGAAGGGAGCUUGCUCCUGGAUUCAGCGGCGGACGGGUGAGUAAUGCCUAGGAAUCUGCCUGGUAGUGGGGGAUAACGUCAGGAAACGGGCGCUAAUACCGCAUACGUCCUGAGGGAGAAAGUGGGGGAUCUUCGGACCUCACGCUAUCAGAUGAGCCUAGGUCGGAUUAGCUAGUUGGUGGGGUAAAGGCCUACCAAGGCGACGAUCCGUAACUGGUCUGAGAGGAUGAUCAGUCACACUGGAACUGAGACACGGUCCAGACUCCUACGGGAGGCAGCAGUGGGGAAUAUUGGACAAUGGGCGAAAGCCUGAUCCAGCCAUGCCGCGUGUGUGAAGAAGGUCUUCGGAUUGUAAAGCACUUUAAGUUGGGAGGAAGGGCAGUAAGUUAAUACCUUGCUGUCUUGACGUUACCAACAGAAUAAGCACCGGCUAACUUCGUG